rnacentral:rRNA from 2 species
GAGCGGCGGACGGGUGAGUAAUGCCUAGGAAUCUGCCUGGUAGUGGGGGAUAACGCUCGGAAACGGACGCUAAUACCGCAUACGUCCUACGGGAGAAAGCAGGGGACCUUCGGGCCUUGCGCUAUCAGAUGAGCCUAGGUCGGAUUAGCUAGUUGGUGAGGUAAUGGCUCACCAAGGCGACGAUCCGUAACUGGUCUGAGAGGAUGAUCAGUCACACUGGAACUGAGACACGGUCCAGACUCCUACGGGAGGCAGCAGUGGGGAAUAUUGGACAAUGGGCGAAAGCCUGAUCCAGCCAUGCCGCGUGUGUGAAGAAGGUCUUCGGAUUGUAAAGCACUUUAAGUUGGGAGGAAGGGCAGUUACCUAAUACGUAUCUGUUUUGACGUUACCGACAGAAUAAGCACCGGCUAACUCUGUGCCAGCAGCCGCGGUAAUACAGAGGGUGCAAGCGUUAAUCGGAAUUACUGGGCGUAAAGCGCGCGUAGGUGGUUCGUUAAGUUGGAUGUGAAAUCCCCGGGCUCAACCUGGGAACUGCAUCCAAAACUGGCGAGCUAGAGUAUGGUAGAGGGUGGUGGAAUUUCCUGUGUAGCGGUGAAAUGCGUAGAUAUAGGAAGGAACACCAGUGGCGAAGGCGACCACCUGGACUGAUACUGACACUGAGGUGCGAAAGCGUGGGGAGCAAACAGGAUUAGAUA